CUGGAUGGAUGGAUGAAGGCACUCUCCCAGGCUUCCAACUCUUGAACACCUGAGCGACCAUCUGGAGCCCACACAUCCUCAACAGAUCACACUGCUGCUUGGCCACUGCUCUCCACCCUCUUCUGAGGCUGCUGCUUAUACCACAGUGUUGAUGGCCUCCUCUCUGCUCCCCAGAGCAGAUGCUCCCACCAACACUGCUGCUCUUGGGCAUCAGAUAGGUUCUGCGAGCUUCACCAUUGUCAGAAGGCCCAGAUGGCUCCGGGAGGUCCCAUGGAUGCUCAGCCCAAACCAGGAGUUUUCUCACACUCCAUGCAAGUGAGUUGGCGCAGAUAGACGUGCGGAAAUUGGAAUCUAACUCCACAUAAACCAGUUAUGUAUACGGGAAGUCCUUAUUUUGCAUAGUAAUGCAAGACCAUAAAAAUGACUGUGUAAGCUGAAACCCUGCAAAGCAAUCUUAAUCGAAGGGAAUAAUUACAGUUGUUCUGUGACCUUUAAACAUUUUUGUCAAAACAUUAAACAUUCUCUUACUGUUGUUUAUAAAUGCAUGGGGAAAUGAAAAAUUAACAAAACUAAUAUUUAUUUAUUACACUGUAAUUUAAAACAUUAGAAACAUUGAGAAUUAAGGUGUUUUAUUUCUUUGUAAAGAACAUAUCAAAAGUAGUUUGCACAGUUCUUGCCUUUCUCCCCUUACUGUAUAGCUUAUGAUACAGCUGGAGCAACUUUUCUAUGCCUUGGUGAAUUGUCGUACUUUGUUGUAAGUGUAGUCUAGUUCUAAGUCAGGUCCUAAUGUUUUAUCCUUUGCUCUUGCAAUGUUACAAAAUAUCUAUAAGAAUUCCUUGAAGGUGAAGUUUUUUGCCAGUGCCACUUCCACUGGCACAUCUUCAUUUUCUUGGAAUCUGGAUGCAGAUUUCCCAGCUGCAUGCUUACAUGUGCUAGCAGCUUCAUCACUAGCUUGACAUCAAUCAAUUCAUGCUAAAUUCUGGAAUGAGGAAACAAGCCUUUACUGGCAGUAAAAUAUUCUUCUUCAGUAUCCUUGUAAUUACCAUUUUCUUUCAAUGUGGCAACUAAGAUCAAUGCUUUGGCCAGGAUGCAAGCCAAACUACUUCGGAUUUUGAAAUAUUACAGUCUUCAAUCCAAAGUAGAAAACUCUCCAAGCAUAAGCAGCUUUCUGGUCCUAUUGCAAUUUAAACUAAGAGAUGAAGCAACGUUACCUUGCUUUUAAUACACAUUGGAUUUUUCCAGUGCAGUUUGUUCCAUAGCUCCAUGCAGGCCAUGGUGCAUCCAGUCUUUGCUCUGCUCUUGCCAAUUUCACAUCUUCAAUCUAAUCACAUCCAGUUUACUGCCGGCAUUAUCACUUUUUGUUUCUUUGUUGCAUUUUUAUUUUUGUUAGCUUACCCUCUAUCCAGUGAUCCAUUUUUUGUAAAAUUUUCAUCACAUGGAUUUAUCACUGGAAGACAAGGAGGCAACACAACUUCACAUUUUGCUGUCUGGGCAUGAACUGAGUAACAGAUAUGCAAUGACUAAUCAAGGACAGGCUUUGAAAGAAGUGAUGUGAUUGGUUCAUCAUGAUGUGCAUCUGUUGUUUAUAUCAUGAUUUGCGGACUGGCAAGCAGGCAGUGAAGUUUGUACUUUAUGCAAUUAUAGUUAAUAUAUACUGUGGUGACUGAAAUUUGAACUAGUUUUUGGGAACGGGUAUUAUUUCGCUAAACUGAAACUUGUGCACAUCAGUGCCAUAAAAAGCAAGGACUGCUUAUUAAUGUGUACCAACCAAAUACUUUUGGGCACAUUCACAGCACAGCACUUCCUCCUCCUUGUGGUUGGACGGUUCCACGUGACCAGUCUAGCCAAUGGAUUGUGAGCAGAAGUUACAUGUGUCAGUUCCGUGCCAAACCAUUUGAUGGACAGUCAGUCGUGUCCUAGCCCCUGAGGAUAUCGGAGGAGGUGGCUGCUCUGUUAGCCUAAGUCUCUGAGCAACAAAGGUGAGCAGAGGCCCCCUGCUGAGAUAUGAUGGACAUGUAGCAUAAGCAAGAAGUAAACCUUUGUUUUAAGCCACUGAGAUCUUGGGGUUAUUUGUUUCUGUAGCAUAGCAACUCGUUAUGAUUGAUAUAAAAUAUCAUCAGGAGGUAAUCUAGGAAAAGGAGGAUAGGGAGCUGGGCAGAAUUUAGAACUCAGAAAUUGGCAGCUGAUAGUAAAAGGGCUCCAAAUUUGUAGGGGUAGGAGGAGAGGAAGAAUCAGGGGCAUGUACUUAAAAAAUCUUUAUAUGAUAAAAAAAAAAUUAGCACAGACACAGAAAAUAAAUGUAUAGCUUAAUAAAUUAUUAAAAAAUGAAGGUUAUCCAUUUAUGGAUUAAUAGAUUAAUGGACUAUCAUGGGAGUGGGACUCGUGGUUUAUAAGAAGAGGAAGAGAGACCUGAGCUAGCACUCAGCCCCCUUGCCAUGCAAUGCUCUGUACCAGUUUAGGACUCUGCAGAAAGUGCCUACCAUCAAGAAUGUCUCUCGCCAGACGUGGUAACUUGACCUUGAACUUCUCAGCCUCCAUAACUGUAAGAAAUAAAUUCCUUUUCUUUGUAAAUUACCCGGUUUCAGGUAUUCUUUUAUAAGCAAUAGAAAAUGAGACUGUUUCCUCACCCCUCCCUCUUUGCCCUCAAGAGGCGACCACUUACUUGCCUCUUAUGGAAACACCCUCCUUCCUUUCCUCAUGCCAUUAUCAGUCCACAUGUGCAUCCUUCAACAUUGUGGUUUAGUUUUACUUUUUAAAUAUUUUAAAGUCUCUUUUAAUGUACAGACUUCCCCUUUACCACACUCCUUUCCCCUUGUGAAUGUAUGUGUUACAAGAACUAGAUCAUUGGUAGAGUUUCCCACAGCAUAGAUUUUGCCACUUGUACCCCCACGGUGCCAUUGAUGUGUUCCUCUGGCCCCUGUAUUUCCUGUAAAUUGCUAGUUGGAUCUAUAGGCUUGAUCCAAUGUGGGUUUGAUUAUUUUUGGCAAGACAACGUCAUAGGUGGUGGUGCCUUUGUUCUCCAGAAAGUGUAAUCAUCUUUAAAAUAAUUAUUAUUUUAAUAAUAACCAUAGGUGUUCAUUUAUUUGGGGUUACAGAAUGGCAAAAUUCCAAUUUGAAAUGUCUCCUGUUCCACUCUGGUUACCAAUGAUGCAGUUCAAAUGGGACCAUCAGGGUAAAUGCUUGAUUUUUUUGUUUGUUUGUUUCUUCAGAAUUCAAAGCUUUGUCACAUACAUGUACUAGUUGCUAAGAUCUGAAUGUGGCAAAACUGUUGUAAAGGUCAACCUGGCCUCGAUUGGCCCAGCCUUCUCUCCCCAGGUCCUUUGACCUCCUGAGAGAUCAUUCCAGGCCCUGUGAAUCUCAGUUUUUCUUCCCAUCUCCCCACCCCGUCAGAGCCCACCUUCAUGGAGGGAAGGUCCUCAUGCUCACUCACCUUAGGAGGUAAAUUGUGGGCAUUGUCCACUCUAGGGAAUGUGGAUUUUAAGGCCUCUCUCUCAAAUAUUGUCUCACUUAGUCCCUGUGGAGUUCAAAACAGGUAGCUUCAAGCCCAAACUCACCUUGCAAUGUUUUGUUUUGGCCAUCACAGAGUGUUUUCACUUGUUGUUUGUUUUGCUUUUAAGUGGAGCAAGACUGCAUUUAGGCAGGGGCAUAUUCUCUGCAGUUAGAUCAGAGCCCACCGCCUCCCCUUGCAUUGUACCCGCCCUGUGUUCUGAGUCCCUUUGUGUUGCAGAACCUUGUAGGUAGGUGUUAUUAGCCCAUUUUUCAGGUGAAUGGACAAGAACUGGAGAAUUGAUGUGGGGGACCUAGGUGAGGCACAAAUGGAAAUGGAACAGCCACUGAGUGCUCUGGGAAGGAGACCACAAGCCAAAGGAGAGAGUCCACACUGGGAAGACCCAGCUACAGGGCCCUCUCCAUCCAGCCUGGUGCAAACUAAAACCCACAUUCUUUUUUCUUCCCUUUUACAGAGACAGCUCAAGGAAGCAUGAUAAAAUGAGGCCUAAGAUAAUAUUUGAGGGGAAAGUUUAUUUUUUUAUGGUCUGUUUGCAUUACACCAUCGGGUGAAGAGAGGAGGAGAAAGACUUGUCCCAAAUGGCAGAGCUGGAGAAGCACAAAUCCAAUGUCAAUAGUUGGAAAUACAAGUGUGUGGUUUCAUUAAACUUCUUUUUUUAAAAAAAACUUUGUUCUUCCUUUUCCUGAGGCAGUCCAAGGGAAGGGGACACAGAGGUGGAAACAGACAGGGAGAGAGGAGGGAGCAAGCCAGGGCCAGCGAAGGGGGCUUGUCUUAAGGAACCUGCUCCCGCUGUGAGUGUCCUCAGCCAGCCCAGGAGGCUGGCAGGCCUGAUCAGAAGCAGCCAGCCAGAGCCUUCCGCUGAUUCCAAUGACGGCUGCUAAGCAGGGGCAGG
rnacentral:lncRNA from 1 species